rnacentral:rRNA from 1 species
UACGUAGGUGGCAAGCGUUGUCCGGAAUUAUUGGGCGUAAAGCGCGCGCAGGCGGUCCUUUAAGUCUGGGGGGAAAGCCCACGGCUCAACCGUGGAGGGUCAUUGGAAACUGGGGGACUUGAGUGCAGAAGAGGAGAGUGGAAUUCCACGUGUAGCGGUGAAAUGCGUAGAUAUGUGGAGGAACACCAAUGGCGAAGGCAGCCCUCUGGGCCAGCACUGACGCUCAUGCACGAAAGCGUGGGGAGCAAACAGG